rnacentral:tRNA from 1 species
GCAGUGGUAGCUCAGUGGUAGAAUUUCUGCCUUUCAUGCAGGAGAACUAGAUUCAAUUCCCGGUCAAUGCA